rnacentral:rRNA from 1 species
UUAAUCGUUAAACAGGUGAACCUGCGAAUGGCUCAUUAAUUCAGUUUUAGUUUAUUUGAAGGUAAAUUACUUCUUGGAUACCCGUGGUAAUUUUAGAGCUUAUACAUGCUUAAAAUCCUGCCUUCUGGAAUGGAUGUAUUAAUUAGAUAACAAACCAAUACCUCCUUCAGUGGUUUCCCACUGGUGAAUCUUAAUAACUUCUCGGAUCGCCCGGUCUCGUCCCGGCGACGAAUCAUUCAAAUUUCUGCCCUUUCAACUUUCAAUGGUAGGUUAGAGGCCUCCCAUUGUUUUUACGGUUAACCGGGAAUUAUGGUUCGAUUGCGGAGAGGGGGCCUGAGAAUUGGCUACCAUAUCCAAGGAGGGCAACAGGGGCGCAAAUUCCCCAAUCCCAAUACGGGGAGGUAGUGACAAUAAAUAACAAUAUGGGGCUCUUACGGGUCUCGUAAUUGGAAUGAGUACAAUUUAAAUCUCUUAACGAGGCACAAUUGGACGGCAAGUCUGGUGCCAGCACCCGCGGUAAUUCCAGCUCCUAUAGCGUAUUUUAAAGUUGUGGCAGUUAAUAAGCUCGUAGUUGAAUUUCUGGGUCUGUCAAUUGGUCGGCCUUCACGGUCCGCACUGGUUUGAUGGGUUGCUACCUUCUAAAUAACCAGCAUGCCAUUC